UACAGAGGUCCCAAGCGUUGUUCGGAUUCAUUGGGCGUAAAGGGUGCGUAGGCGGCGCGGUAAGUCGGGUGUGAAAUCUCGGAGCUUAACUCCGAAACUGCAUUCGAUACUGCCGUGCUUGAGGACUGGAGAGGAGACUGGAAUUUACGGUGUAGCGGUGAAAUGCGUAGAUAUCGUAAGGAAGACCAGUGGCGAAGGCGGGU
rnacentral:rRNA from 1 species